AUCGCAGGUCCUGCAGCCCCAGGAGGUGAGAUCUGCAGUCCUCCAUGUUUCCUUCAGGUUCCCUGGGUACAGGACUCUCUAUUUAUUAAAGACAAUGGUCCUUUCCAUCGAUGACCCACCAAGAAUUGAGAAGGACAGAAACUACAUGGCUGCAAGGAUACUAGACCUCACCCUGGAGAUUAUCUCCUUGAUAACUGGAGAGGAUUACACAGUAGUGAAGAAGUCGUCUGGUGAGUGUGUGACACCCCGUGUGUCAG